rnacentral:rRNA from 1 species
CAAAAACAUGUCUUUUUGAUUAUAAUUUAAAGUCUAACCUGCCCAAUGAGGAGUUAAAUGGCCGCGGUAAUUUGACCGUGCAAAGGUAGCAUAAUCAUUAGUUUUUUAAUUGAAAGCUGGAAUGAAUGGUUGGACGAGAAAAUAACUGUCUCAAUUUAAUUGGAAUUAGAAUUUUAUUUAUAAGUAAAAAAGCUUAUAUGAAUUUAAAAGACGAGAAGACCCUAUAGAAUUUAAUAUAUUAAUAUGUUUAUUAUUUUAGAAUUUUUAUUUAUAUAUAUAGAAGUAUAUUUUGUUGGGGCGAUAGAAAAAUUGAUUAAACUUUUUUUAUAUUUUAACAUUAAUGUAUGUGUAAGUGAUCCGUUUAUUACGAUUAAAAGAUUAAAUUACCUUAGGGAUAACAGCGUAAUUUUUUUUUAGAGUUCUUAUCGAAAAAAGAGUUUGCGACCUCGAUGUUGGAUUAAAAUUAACUUUUGGUGUAGGGGCU